AUGCCAGUGAAAUCUAAAGGACAAGAAAAAUUGUGCAUCUGUGAGGAUUAUGACUAUACGUGUUUUCAAUUGAAAGGGAAGAUCCUCAAAAAGGAUCCCACAGCUUCUUCAGCCAUGAGCUUGGUUUCCACGCCAGUGCUUAUGAUACUUUUUGCCCUGAGAGGAACCGGAGCCCAGUCGGUGACCCAGCCUGACGUCCACAUCACCGUCUCUGAGGGAGCCCGUCUGGAGCUGAGGUGCAAAUACACAUCUUCUGUUUCACCAUAUCUCUUCUGGUACGUGCAAUAUCCCAACCAAGGACUCCAGCUUCUCCUGAAGUACACGUCUGGAAACAGCCUUGUUUCAGGCAUCAAAAGUUUUGAGGCUGAAUUUAGGAAGAACGAAACCUCCUUCCACCUGAGGAAACCCUCAGCCCUUUGGAGCGACUCGGCCAAGUACUUCUGUGCUCUGAGUGACACAGUGCCUGGGACUGCAGGGGGAGCUGAACACAAACUUCUGUUGAAUGUGAGACUUUCAGUGACUCCAGGGAUCAGCCUGGGGCAUUUUCAGUAA